rnacentral:rRNA from 1 species
UACGUAGGGGGCUAGCGUUGUCCGGAAUCAUUGGGCGUAAAGAGCGCGUAGGCGGCCCGGUAAGUCCGCUGUAAAAGUCCGGGGCUCAACCCCGGGAGGCGGGCGGAUACUGCCGGGCUAGAGUCCGGAAGAGGCGAGUGGAAUUCCUGGUGUAGCGGUGAAAUGCGCAGAUAUCAGGAAGAACACCAAUGGCGAAGGCAGCUCUCUGGGACGGUACUGACACUGAGACGCGAAAGCGUGGGGAGCGAACAGG